UACGAAGGGGGGCUAGCGUUGUUCGGAAUUACUGGGCGUAAAGGGCGCGUAGGCGGUACUUCAAGUCAGGCGUGAAAGCCCCGGGCUCAACCUGGGAACCGCGCUUGAGACUGGAGAACUAGAGUUCGGGAGAGGAUGGUGGAAUUCCCAGUGUAGAGGUGAAAAUUCGUAGAUAUUGGGAAGAACACCGUGGCGAAGGC
rnacentral:rRNA from 1 species